UAUAUUUAAAUUAGCGGUGUACC
rnacentral:siRNA from 1 species